rnacentral:rRNA from 1 species
AGAGUUUGAUCCUGGCUCAGGACGAACGCUGGCGGCAGGCUUAACACAUGCAAGUCGAACGCCCCGCAAGGGGAGUGGCAGACGGGUGAGUAACGCGUGGGAACAUACCCUUUCCUGCGGAAUAGCUCCGGGAAACUGGAAUUAAUACCGCAUACGCCCUACGGGGGAAAGAUUUAUCGGGGAAGGAUUGGCCCGCGUUGGAUUAGCUAGUUGGUGGGGUAAAGGCCUACCAAGGCGACGAUCCAUAGCUGGUCUGAGAGGAUGAUCAGCCACAUUGGGACUGAGACACGGCCCAAACUCCUACGGGAGGCAGCAGUGGGGAAUAUUGGACAAUGGGCGCAAGCCUGAUCCAGCCAUGCCGCGUGAGUGAUGAAGGCCUUAGGGUUGUAAAGCUCUUUCACCGGAGAAGAUAAUGACGGUAUCCGGAGAAGAAGCCCCGGCUAACUUCGUGCCAGCAGCCGCGGUAAUACGAAGGGGGCUAGCGUUGUUCGGAAUUACUGGGCGUAAAGCGCACGUAGGCGGAUAUUUAAGUCAGGGGUGAAAUCCCAGAGCUCAACUCUGGAACUGCCUUUGAUACUGGGUAUCUUGAGUAUGGAAGAGGUAAGUGGAAUUCCGAGUGUAGAGGUGAAAUUCGUAGAUAUUCGGAGGAACACCAGUGGCGAAGGCGGCUUACUGGUCCAUUACUGACGCUGAGGUGCGA